rnacentral:tRNA from 1 species
CGCGCAGUAGAGCAGCUCGGUAGCUCGUUGGAUUCAUAAUCCAAAGGUCGCCGGUUCAAAUCCGGCCUGCGCCA